AGGCCUAUUAAACAGCACUACCAGGCUGAAAAAACAGGGGUUUUUACUUUAUCCCACCCAGCUCCUGGACAUUUUUAGGAUUUUUUCCAGUUAAAUUUGUCUGUUGACAGAAUAGAUACUUAGCUGAAAAGCUCUGCCUUCAUCUACCUUUGUUAAGAAGAUUACUAGGUAAACUGGGUCUAAACAGUUGGUGUGUGCAUAUGUUUGGUGUCAGGGGAGUGGAGAUGUGGCCUUGCCAGUCAGCACUGUCCCUGCAAAAGCACUGUGGAAGUCCUGCAGCCUGGCUGACAUGUCCAUGAGAAAUAAUUCAGAAUCUCACCAAACACAGAGUAAGCAUAUAUGUCCAUCAGUCUCUGGCUGAAAAGAAUACAUAACCCUCCAAGAAGAUUUUUAUAAAAGGAGGUUUUUGCUUCUAUGAAGUAGGAAGGAAGGCAUCACAGAGGAUUUAUUUUUCAGACAUCACUUGUUCAAUAAAUUGGAGAGUAUUAUGUGGCUAUAUGCAGAGGAUACAGUGUUGCGGAGAAGUUGUAUUGACUACUCUGUAGGAGUGCAUGAUGUAUCAAUACCAUCAGUGUGGGCAAUUAAUUUCACCAAGAACAAGGUCUAAGUCCAGCCUUCAGCGUGGCUUUGGUUAUGCUCUAAGCCUCAUCACUUUGUAGCCAAGUGUAUAUAAUGACAUAGACUACUGGCUUGGACCACACUUCUGCAUAGAUGAGCCAGAAAUCAUUCUGAAUUGCAUUUAACCUGGACUUUGACACACACAAGAAACAAAAUUACUUCUAUAAUGAUAUUUCUUGUAUCAUUUACCAUCAAUUUCCUGUCCUGUCAGGCUGCUUUGUUUCUCUGUACUACUCGUUUUAAACCCAGUACUGCAGAUGUUGGACUGGAAGCUGGCAUUCAGAAGACCUAUUCUUUGUUUUGCUGCUAACUCACUUGUGUGACCUUUGGUGGAUUCAUAAAUCUACCUUUGUUUCAGUUUACUUGUCUCUAAAAUUGCUGUGAUAAAUAAAUGUUGUGUUUUGUUGAGCUGAAUUUCAAGUUAUAUUGACCCAAUAAUCAAUAAUUUACCAACUAAUAAUAAAUCCUAAUAUUCAGUCACUGAAACAAGAAGUCAGCUGGAUUGCUCAGUGGACUCCUUGCUACAGUUAGAUGGACACCUUUGCUCAAAUUCCAUCCAAGGGCCAGAGGUAUCUGGAGAGAUGUUUUCAAGUUAGCACUAAGCCUGA